rnacentral:rRNA from 1 species
AACGAACGCUGGCGGCAGGCUUAACACAUGCAAGUCGAGCGCCCCGCAAGGGGAGCGGCAGACGGGUGAGUAACGCGUGGGAAUCUACCCAUCUCUACGGAAUAACGCAUGGAAACGUGUGCUAAUACCGUAUACGUCCUUCGGGAGCAAGAUUUAUCGGAGAUGGAUGAGCCCGCGUUGGAUUAGCUAGUUGGUGGGGUAAAGGCCUACCAAGGCGACGAUCCAUAGCUGGUCUGAGAGGAUGAUCAGCCACACUGGGACUGAGACACGGCCCAGACUCCUACGGGAGGCAGCAGUGGGGAAUAUUAGACAAUGGGCGCAAGCCUGAUCCAGCCAUGCCGCGUGAGUGAUGAAGGCCCUAGGGUUGUAAAGCUCUUUCACCGGUGAAGAUAAUGACGGUAACCGGAGGAGAAGCCCCGGCUAACUUCGUGCCAGCAGCCGCAGUAACAC